CCGGCGUCCUCCUCCGGGCGGUCAUUUUGGCUUCUCCCCUGUGUUCAUCCGGGCAGAAGUUCCGGAGAGCUGGGUGUGCGCGAGGUGACUUGCAGGAGAAGGACUCAGAGGAGUCGUUGACCCAGCCAUACAGAGCGGGGUCUGAGGCUUGGCGACGCCGCCCGGGGUGCCCCGCACCAGGGCCGGUAUAAGAACCGCCUGCCCGCUCCCGGCCCCGCUCCGCCCACAGGCCCGGAUGGCGGCAGCCACGCUGAGGGACCCGGCUCAGAUACAAGCAGAGGGUUCAAUGCCUUCUCAGCAGUAACUCUCUUCCUGUGAAGCCAGAGCCAUAGGCACCAUCCUGAUCCUGGUGAGUACGUUUGACUCUUCUUACUCCUUCACUAAUACUUUGUCCUUUUGGUUAACCCUGAUCGUGAAUCCAAGCUCUCGGCUUAUGACCACAUCCCUUCAUUAGCAGUGACAAAGAUGCUCUGAUUCCAAAUAGAGUUGGGCUCGAAGUUCCCACCAGAACAUGGAAGAGUGUAUUGAGUAACACUGUAAAAAAAUACAUAUAGUCUCAAACUAUGCCAGUUCCUGGGACUUUUGCAUUCAGAGUUGAAUAACACUUGUAGGAAGGC
rnacentral:lncRNA from 1 species